GAGCGGAUCUUUUCGAUCGUUCGAUUCAUUUUUGGUGAACUUUGAAACACCGCAGCAUCCGGCCAUCUAAUAAAGAACUCUUUACUCAUGAAUAAUUCAACGUCGAACAAUAUCGAACAGUUACUAUAUACCGAUGAAAUAACGUAAAUCUUCCCUUGAACACGGAAUUUUCCCUCGUCGAGUUUUCUAUUUCGCGCAAUAAUCUUGAGGCCGGAAGUGUGACACGCGUGAUGCCAUUGCAAAUACAUGUAAGAAGAAAAGAGAGGGCCUAGAUUGUUCAGGGAUUUCGAGAUAGCCUCGUGGAUGAACUAGGAGACGACAGUGAUAUAUGAGUCUUGAACAGGGUUGGUAGUUUAUUCUCUCGAUCUUUAGAGAGAAGCCAUAAUCAGCUGUCACUGAUGCUGGUUAAAUUGAUU